ACUGGACUGUUCAAGUGGCCAAAGCCAGGGAAAUUAUCUCUAUGCAGCACAAAUUUCCUGUCAGCGCUGAUAAUCCAGUGGCUUGGAAAUAGUGACAGUUAAAACUGAGCACAGAAACCACUUUGCGAGCAAAGAAUCAACCCUGGGAAGGAGAAGCAGUUCUAGCUGUGAAAGUGUUGGCACCCUUGCAGGUCUCACUGAUAUAGGAUGCAGUUCCUCCCAACACAAAGACUGUUUUCCACACUAUUCUUCAGCCCUGUGGUAUUUCCCAACCUACUCUAAAUCAGGGAAAUAUGGAGACAAAGUAUGGAACAUAGACUGAAGGAAAGGCCAUCCAGAGACUGCCGCAUCUGGGGAUCCAUCCCAUGUACAGACAACAAACCCAGACACUAUUGCUGAUGCCAAGAAGGGCUUGAUGACAAGAGUCUGAUAUAGCUAUCUUCUGAGAGACUCUACAAGAGCCUGACAAAUACAGAGGCAGAUGCUUACAACCAAUCAUUGGACUGAGCAUGGGGUCCCUAAUGGAGGAGUUAGAGAAAGGACUGAAUGAGCUGAAGGGAUUUGGAACCCUGUAGGAAGAAAAACAACAUCAACCAUUUAGACAUCUCAGAGCUCCAGCCACAUGUGUAGUAGAGGAUGGCCUUGUUGGGCAUCAUUGAAAGAGAGGCCCUUGGUCCUGUGAAGGCUCGAUACACCAGUGUAAGGGAAUGCUAGGGUGGUGAGGUGGGAGUCAAUGGGUGGGUGGGGGAAAAGGAUAGGGGUUUCCAGAUGUGAAACUGGGAAAGAGGAUAACAUUUGAAAUGUAAAUAAAUAAAAUAUCCAAUAAAAAAUAGUCAUACAACUUUUU